GACCAGACUCCUACGGGAGGCAGCAGUGGGGAAUAUUGCACAAUGGGGGAAACCCUGAUGCAGCGACGCCGCGUGAGCGAUGAAGUAUUUCGGUAUGUAAAGCUCUAUCAGCAGGGAAGAAAAUGACGGUACCUGACUAAGAAGCCCCGGCUAACUACGUGCCAGCAGCCGCGGUAAUACGUAGGGGGCAAGCGUUAUCCGGAUUUACUGGGUGUAAAGGGAGCGUAGACGGCUGUGCAAGCCAGAUGUGAAAGCCCGGGGCUCAACCCCGGGACUGCAUUUGGAACUGUGUGGCUGGAGUGUCGGAGAGGCAGGCGGAAUUCCUAGUGUAGCGGUGAAAUGCGUAGAUAUUAGGAGGAACACCAGUGGCGAAGGCGGCCUGCUGGACGAUGACUGACGUUGAGGCUCGAAAGCGUGGGGAGCAAACAGGAUUAGAUACCCGCGUA
rnacentral:rRNA from 1 species